rnacentral:rRNA from 1 species
GACGAACGCUGGCGGCGUGCCUAAUACAUGCAAGUCGAACGCAGUGGGGACGGGUGAGUAACACGUUGGUAACCUCCCAUCAGAGGGGAUAACACUUUGAAACAGGUGCUAAACCGAUACUGAUGGAUGGACCCGCGUUGCAGUAGCUAGUUGGUGAGGUAACGGCUCACCAAGGCCACGAUGCAUAGCCGACCUGAGAGGGCGAUGAGCAACCCUGGGACGGAGACACGGACCAGACUCCUACGUGAGGCAGCAGUAGGGAAUAGUCGGCAAUGGAGGAAAGUCUGACAGAGCAACGCCGCGUGAGUGAAGAAGGUUUUCGGAUCGUAAAACUCUGUUGUUAGGGAAGCGGUAUCUAACCAGAAAGCAACGGCUAACUACGUGCCAGCCGCCGCGGUAAUUC